rnacentral:rRNA from 1 species
AUGAACGCUAGCGGGAGGCCUAACCCCUGCAAGCCGCGCGGUAUUUGUCCUUCGGGACAGAGAGAGCGGCGUACGGGUGCGGAACACGUGUGCAACCUGCCUUUAUCUGGGGGAUAGCCUUUCGAAAGGAAGAUUAAUACCCCAUAAUAUAUCGAAUGGCAUCAUUCGAUAUUGAAAACUCCGGUGGAUAGAGAUGGGCACGCGCAAGAUUAGAUAGUUGGUGAGGUAACGGCUCACCAAGUCAGUGAUCUUUAGGGGGCCUGAGAGGGUGAUCCCCCACACUGGUACUGAGACACGGACCAGACUCCUACGGGAGGCAGCAGUGAGGAAUAUUGGACAAUGGGUGAGAGCCUGAUCCAGCCAUCCCGCGUGAAGGACUAAGGCCCUAUGGGUUGUAAACUUCUUUUAUACUGGGAUAAACCUACUUACGUGUAAGUAGCUGAAGGUACAGUAUGAAUAAGCACCGGCUAACUCCGUG